rnacentral:rRNA from 1 species
ACAGACGAGGAGCUUGCUCCUCUGACGUUAGCGGCGGACGGGUGAGUAACACGUGGAUAACCUACCUAUAAGACUGGGAUAACUUCGGGAAACCGGAGCUAAUACCGGAUAAUAUAUUGAACCGCAUGGUUCAAUAGUGAAAGACGGUUUUGCUGUCACUUAUAGAUGGAUCCGCGCCGCAUUAGCUAGUUGGUAAGGUAACGGCUUACCAAGGCAACGAUGCGUAGCCGACCUGAGAGGGUGAUCGGCCACACUGGAACUGAGACACGGUCCAGACUCCUACGGGAGGCAGCAGUAGGGAAUCUUCCGCAAUGGGCGAAAGCCUGACGGAGCAACGCCGCGUGAGUGAUGAAGGUCUUCGGAUCGUAAAACUCUGUUAUUAGGGAAGAACAAAUGUGUAAGUAACUAUGCACGUCUUGACGGUACCUAAUCAGAAAGCCACGGCUAACUACGUGCCAGCAGCCGCGGUAAUACGUAGGUGGCAAGCGUUAUCCGGAAUUAUUGGGCGUAAAGCGCGCGUAGGCGGUUUUUUAAGUCUGAUGUGAAAGCCCACGGCUCAACCGUGGAGGGUCAUUGGAAACUGGAAAACUUGAGUGCAGAAGAGGAAAGUGGAAUUCCAUGUGUAGCGGUGAAAUGCGCAGAGAUAUGGAGGAACACCA